UUCAUUGUUUACACGCUUAAUAAUACCCUAUUAGUGAUUAGAGUUAAGGGAUCGAAUUCCGCAAACGGAAGCGUAUUUUUAAAAUUUUCUGAUCUUUAUCCAUGCAAAACAUACAACGUUGAUUAGGAAGGUUAGGGAUACCUUGAAUAUCACGAAGAAAUCAAGGCUGAAACCCAAGCUGUGUUGCUGCCACCCUGCUGCUGCAAGUAUCGCCCGCGUCUGGCUGUUUCGUUUUUCGCGCCUUGCUGCUGCCCUGCUGGCUACCGCAGCCACCUUGCUGGCUGUUGGUUUGCCGUGCCUUGCUGCGCCCUGUCGCUUACCUAGCUCCCUCUAGUCUCCUAAUCCCUUUUAGAAUAUGCUCCCUCUAGUCUCUAAUCCCUUUUGAUCUUCUCUCCUUGUUCUUCACCUUAAACGAUCCUUCCAGGAAUGUGGGCUCUCUCAGCAUUUUCUAAAACCUUGGGACAGUAGAAUGAUAGGGAUUGGCAGCGUACCUAUACAUAUAUAUAGAAUGAGGAAUCAGAUAUGAACGUUUUGAUCAUGGUCUUGGUAGAGGUUAGUUUAGGUUUUAGUGAUAUAUUUGGGGAAUUAUGUGAAAUAAGUUCAGGUGGGGUCAAAGUAGAGUAGGUGGUAUGGUAGGGAUGAUAAAACUUCCAAGAUCAGGACCUUGGUCAAAUCCCCUCUCUCUCUCUAUGACCGGUCAAUGUGGAGCCCUGAAGGCUCAUUGGAAAGACCCUUCACUCUACCCUCCAAGCAACAUUCCUCCUUCGGUCUUGAAGAAGUGCCUAGGUCGUGCUCAUAGCCUAGGCAAUUGUUAAAAUCGCCUUGAAUGGAGAGUUUGUGAAAUGCAGAGAUAUUGUUAAGUGUUGGUGAGGGCUCUAUGGGGUUUCCUCACCCCAAACACUGGAUGAGAGUGCCGAGGUGACUCUCGAUCAUGGUAAUAUUGUUGUGCUCAAAACUAAUUACGGAUCACACACACACAAAAGACAAUAAAGAUUUACGUGAUUCGGUCAACGAUGCCUACGUCCACAGAGAGAAAUAAAAAAUUCACUAUCGAACGAAUUGAUUACAAACGGAGGAGACUCGAUCCUCAACUCACACCCUUCUCAAAAUCUCUUGUUGUCUUGCCUUCAAUCUCACCUCACAGCAACUGCUCUCAGCCCACAACACAACGCACGUAGAAAAAUUCUAAGCACCCUCCCUCCCUGUUAUGACCAAGGGAAGGAGGGGUGGUGGACUCCUACCAGAAUAACUAAUCAUUAUCCUAAUAUAUAUAGAAAAAAAAGAUCAAAGACUCUCAAAGAGUUAAAGAUAAAAACUCGGAGUUUCCCCGUCGCAUAAACACUCCUUAUGAACUCUCCAAACUGGGCUUGAGCUUGGCUACGGACUUGGACUCAUCCAAAGGGCUUGGACUCAUCCAGAUGGCUGGACUCAACAAUCUCCCCCUACAGCCACUGGAGGGUAAUUCUGAGUUCUUCAAGUUUCCUUCUGACAGCUUUUGGAUCCAGCUCCCCCAUAAGACUGUAAGACAGCACCGAGAGACCUUAGCCUCAUCAACGGGCUACUCACUUCCCACCAAGUGUAUGCACCUCCCACACCGAAGUGCCGUGACACCUUCUCAACCGAGGUGCCCUGCACCCCCCCACUGGUGUGCCCCACACCUCCCACAGGGGUUACGCCACCAAAGUACGUCAAUUUGCGAGUUACGUGGCCUCCUCUCUCCUUCCUUGUGCACACAACUGGAAGAUCACCGCCAUUGAUCAAAUCAGAGAGCAAAUAGACUCGCUUCGGCGUCGCCGCGCCCUUCGCUGUACAGCUGCUCAAAAUCGCCUUGGGCUCCUCCUCUGCACUUCUCUAUGGACAUCCUGCACUGGUUGCCAGCUACACGACUCGUGUCUGGCCAAACUUCCGUACCAUGUCCAAAGCAUCUCCCUACGCUCUUAUACACUCUGGAUCUCCCAGGUACCAUUACGGAUCCCCCAAGUACCCCUGCGCUUGCUUUGCGUACCUCUGUGCAACGUUUUGCUUCCCGUGUCCCUCUUCUCGCUAAUACCACUAGACCCAUGUCGGACAGUAGGCUCCCCUUGUCUGGACACUCCCCUCCAAGCGUAUAGCCCGCCAGUCUCUUCCCCACAGUAUCUCCUUGUUCCUUUGGAAACUCUGAGAGUUCCUCCACUAUCUCAACCUGCAUCCCUUUGAAUCUAGCAUCCCAAUAUAAAUCAAAUUUUUCCGUAGAUAGGAACAUGCCUUACCUCAUCACGUCACCGACCUCCUGUCCUGCCAUGCGGAACGCGGACUGAUUCCUCUACCACAACUCUGUCUAGACGUGUUGUUUGCCAUCCCAUAACGUCCCUCGCAUGGUGCAUAUUUAAAAGGAACACCUCUUUAUCUCUACAUAAGUGGUCAGUACUGUCCUGAAUUCAAUACCCAAUCUGACUUUCCAUCAUCCGAGACUGCUAGGAUAACGUCAAACUCAUCCUCCAUCCACAGCUUCACUGCUGUC
rnacentral:lncRNA from 1 species